UACGUAGGGUGCGAGCGUUGUCCGGAAUUAUUGGGCGUAAAGAGCUCGUAGGCGGUCUGUCGCGUCGGUCGUGAAAACCUGCAGCUUAACUGUGGGCUUGCGGUCGAUACGGGCAUGACUGGAGUUCGGUAGGGGAGACUGGAAUUCCUGGUGUAGCGGUGAAAUGCGCAGAUAUCAGGAGGAACACCGGUGGCGAAGGCGGGUCUCUGGGACGUUACUGACACUGAGGCGCGAAAGCGUGGGGAGCAAACAGG
rnacentral:rRNA from 1 species